rnacentral:lncRNA from 1 species
CCUUGUCACUGUCCCUGCAUUUGAAGAGCUAACAAGAGUUGCACAUUCAGGGACCGCGGCACACAAGCAUCAGGAAGCUGUCCCUGUCCUGGAUGAGAAACCACAGAGCGGGUUUCCUUUUGGAAUUCAUGGUGGAAAGGGAAGGAGCUGAGAGAGAAGAAUUCUCAAGGCCGCACUGCAGGAAGCCGCUUGCACUGGAGUCAUCUCUGAAACCAUGACAAGUGCAUAGAGCAGCUAUUUGAGCACCAGGAAAGGAAAUGGUACGCAGCAGUUUGGGAUGGCCCCAGCAGAUGAAAUACAACAGGGUCGGUGUGAGACUUCUGGAUUUCCUCUGUGUCCCCUGGCUGGGAUCCAGACAGCCUCAGGCCUGGAGGGGCACAAACCUGAAAACAAAAAGAAGUCCGGAAAGUCCUCUUGCUCAGGAUUGAAGAUAGGAAAAGAAGCUUGUUUGGCUCAAAGUGAAGGCUCAGUCCCCUGCACAAGCAGGUGGUUCACACCUGUGUUCUCAUCUCUCUUACACCAGCGCCUCUCCCUGGGUUCACACCAAUGUCCUAUGGAUGGAGAUGGGGCUUCCUGCACCAGGUCACUCCUCAGCCACUGUAACCUGAAGGGGUGCAGACCAGCACUGUUCAUUCACAAUAUGAUGUGAGCCUCAUGGAAAUCUGAAUGUCUAGUCAUCGCAUUAAAAAUACAAAGGGAAGAAG